rnacentral:rRNA from 1 species
UACAGAGGCCCCAAGCGUUACUGAGAAUCACUGGGUUUAAAGGGUGCGUAGGUGGCGCGUUUAAGUCCGUUGUGAAAUCCCUGGGCCUCAACCCCAGGAAUUGCUUCGGAUACUGGCGUGCUUGAGGCCGGUAGGGGUCACUGGAACUGACGGUGGAGCGGUGAAAUGCGUAGAUAUCGUCAGGAACGCCGAUGGUGAAGACAGGUGACUGGGCCGGAACUGACACAUGAGGCACGAAAGCGUGGGGAGCGACUCGG